CCGUCUCAAUCUGCUGAGGACAUAUAAAAUGAAUAUGCGCGUCUAUCCCGCCGGCCGUAAUGAUUUUGCCUUCGCCUGCGAUGACUUCCGUGCUGGCCCCGACAAUCAUGCCGGGAUCCACGCCAUCCAUAAUAUCGGGAUUGCCCCCUUUGCCGAUACCGACAAUCAUGCCGUCCCUGAGGCCGAUAUCGGCCUUGACGAUACCCCAAUGAUCAAUAAUGAGCGCAUUCGUAAUAAUCGUAUCCAACACGCCUUCAUCACGCAGCGCCCCGCUGGACUGGCCCAUUCCGUCGCGA
rnacentral:sRNA from 1 species